AUUGAACGCUGGCGGCAGGCCUAACACAUGCAAGUCGAGCGGAUGAAGGGAGCUUGCUCCUGGAUUCAGUGGCGGACGGGUGAGUAAUGCCUAGGAAUCUGCCUGGUAGUGGGGGAUAACGUCCGGAAACGGACGCUAAUACCGCAUACGUCCUGAGGGAGAAAGUGGGGGAUCUUCGGACCUCACGCUAUCAGAUGAGCCUAGGUCGGAUUAGCUAGUUGGUGGGGUAAAGGCCUACCAAGGCGACGAUCCGUAACUGGUCUGAGAGGAUGAUCAGUCACACUGGAACUGAGACACGGUCCAGACUCCUACGGGAGGCAGCAGUGGGGAAUAUUGGACAAUGGGCGAAAGCCUGAUCCAGCCAUGCCGCGUGUGUGAAGAAGGUCUUCGGAUUGUAAAGCACUUUAAGUUGGGAGGAAGGGCAGUAAGUUAAUACCUUGCUGUUUUGACGUUACCAACAGAAUAAGCACCGGCUAACUUCGUG
rnacentral:rRNA from 1 species